GGGGAUGUAAAUGGUUUCGACAGUUACUAAAGAAGUAUUUAUAGCGAGUAGUGGAUGGUUGCUUUGGCCACUUAAAAUCAAGCAAAUUAAAUAUAAAUGCUAAUAGAAAACAAGAAUUAGCUUACGCUGCCUAAGUUGCAGUGACGUCUUACCUUAGAGCCUACUGCUAAGAAUAAGGCGACGAAUAAAGUAGGAAACGAAGUUAUCUAAUCCAUUUAGAUAAUGGGUAAUAUAAAUGGAUAGGGAUGAAAUGUAUUGUUUGUUUACACGUUCAUCCAGAAAGAUUAAAAACAAACUGCACUCGGAGAAGUAAAUAUGGAAAGGUAAUUGGACGUGAGUUCGACUCUCACCAUCUCCACCA
rnacentral:tmRNA from 1 species